rnacentral:rRNA from 1 species
UUUGUUACUUCAAACCAAUCGGACUUCGGUCUGACAUCAAGUGAUAUUGAACAAUUUAGCUGAUCGCACGGUCUAAGAACCGGCGACAUAUCCUUCAAAUGUCUGCCUUAUCAACUUUCGAUGGUAGAUUAUGCGCCUACCAUGGUUGUAACGGGUAACGGAGACUCAGGGUUUGAUUCCGGAGAGGGAGCCUGAGAAACGGCUACCACAUCCAAGGAAGGCAGCAGGCACGCAAAUUACCCACUCCCGGCACGGGGAGGUAGUGACGAAAAAUAACAAGCUGGUCUCAAUGAGUUCCAGCAUUGUAAUGGGAACAAUUUAAAUCUUUUAUCGAGGAUCUAUUGGAGGGCAAGUCUGGUGCCAGCAGCCGCGGUAAUUCCAGCUCCAAUAGCGUAUAUUAAAGUUGUUGCGGUUAAAAAGCUCGUAGUUGGAUCUAGGAUUAGGGCUACGGUCGUUCAGCUUGGACGUACUGUAUGCCCGACUCCUUUUCUCUAGUAUUCGAUUGUUGCUCUUAAAUGAGUGACUUUAGUUGCUGGAACUUUUACCUUGAAAAAAUUGAGGUGCUCAAAGCAGGUU